UACGGAGGGUGCAAGCGUUAAUCGGAAUUAUUGGGCGUAAAGAGCUCGUAGGCGGUUUGUCGCGUCUGCUGUGAAAUCUGGGGGCUCAACCCCCAGCCUGCAGUGGGUACGGGCAGACUAGAGUGCGGUAGGGGAGAUUGGAAUUCCUGGUGUAGCGGUGGAAUGCGCAGAUAUCAGGAGGAACACCGAUGGCGAAGGCGGCAUCCUGGACCGGCAUUGACGCUGAGGCGCGAAAGCCAGGGGAGCAAACGGG
rnacentral:rRNA from 1 species